rnacentral:rRNA from 1 species
GGUGCUAAUACCGGAUAAGAAAGACGGAUCGCAUGAUCAGCUUUUAAAAGGACGGCGUAAGCUGUCGCUAUGGGAGUGGCCCCGCGGUGCAUUAGCUAGUUGGUAAGGUAAAGGCUUACCAAGGCGAUGAUGCAUAGCCGAGUUGAGAGACUGAUCGGCCACAUUGGGACUGAGACACGGCCCAAACUCCUACGGGAGGCAGCAGGA